rnacentral:lncRNA from 1 species
AAAUAUGAUAUAAUAGCAUUUUUUAACAAGUUUCCGGGCGCUUCUACCCUAAGAAUUUGAGUUCAUCAACAAUGCUAAUCUUAAAUCCUUCCCUGCGUUAAUUUCUCCUCAUCUCCAUCUCUUGUUUACGUGGUCCAAGGGAUUUUGUGAAUUUCUCUACCUCUCUAUCUCUCUUUCGGUAUGGGGAUUUUGUGAAUCCUUGCUUAAUUUCUCAUCAGCUCUAUCUCUCUUUCAGUCUGGAGGAUUUUGUGAAUUUCUCCGCCUCUGCAUCUUUCUGUUGGGCUAGGUAAUUUUGUUUCACAAACUUCUCCCCGAGUAACAGUGAAUUCAUCCCAAAUUUCCAUAUCUCAUUGUUGAUUCUGUUAUUUCUCUUUGUUCUGCAGAUUUUAUUUUUUCAAUUGUGGAAAGGAAGUGUUGACGGAUAUAUGGUUUGAAUCAGGAAAUCGGUGGAAAUUGUUUCUUCUUCACAUCCUUGGGAAGGUAUUUCUUCUUUUUCUGGUUUUGCAACUCUGGGCAGUAAACUCGAAUUUAUGUAAGUUUUUAGGCUGAGUGCUAUUUGAAACCAUAUUCUGCCAUUUUAAUAUGUUGUGGUAUAUGAAGUUUUCUUUCUAUAGUCACAAAAUUUGUUCCCAUCUCAUUACAUACAGAGACUUAAGAAAAUGUUUAAGCGCCGAAAAGUAUGUGAUUUCAUUUGACUAAUUAGCCAGAAGGUGAAGAAUAAAAUCUGGUGAUUCAAAUUGUAUUUUUCUUUGGACAGCAGUGUUUGAGUCGUUUAAUAGUUAUAUAAUUGAUCACUUCUCACAUAGGCUGUCUUCAAAUAAUCAACCCUGUUUUUCAUGUGAAAAAGAAAAUCUGGUGAUUGAUUUCAUGACAAACAUUUUUCUUUGAACUGUAGUGUUUGAGUUGUUUAAUAGUUACAUAAUUGAUCACUUCUCAAGGUGCACAGAAAUUAUAAAGUACUGUUAAUUUUAUGUCAAUUGCGUUGGACACAAAGAGAAUCUCAGUGGCUGGUUUUUUUUUUUUUUUUUUUUUUUAGUCAAAAUUUCACAAUAUAUAAGUCCCUGAAAAACGAUGUUGCUCCGCAGCCCACAACCUGUUCGAUCAACAUUACGUGUUUUCGAGUCGACUCCUCUUUAUAGGACACAAAAAAUAGAAUUUAUGCUUUCUAACAUAAGUCCAGUAUCAGGGUCAUAGUCGAAACAGAAAGUUCAUCCACCGUCACUCUACUUGGAUUUCAUAAAUUGAAGCUUUCAUAAUAUCUUUGUGGAAUGCCAUCAGUUUCAUACUUGGAAUCAGCGUAUAGUUUGAUUUGGGUGUUGGUCAAAAUUUAAACAAUCUUUAGGUUAAUAUUUUCAAUUAUAGAAAUCGCAUCACAUAGGCAUAAUCAGCAUGUUACAAUAAGAUAGAUAAUUGUCUAUAUAGUUUGCAGUCUGUCAGAUCAAUUCGAGAUAAGAGUUUAUUCUUCUUAUCGAAUAUAUGAUUCAUAAAUAAAAAAUUUCAUGCUCAAAACAAUUGGGUUAAAUCUUCCCGCACUUGCUUAUUUCAUACUGUUGGAAUUGCACAUUGGACAAAAGUUAAAAUGGCUUAAGAGUUGAACGCAUUCCAUGAUUUUUCUAGAAUUCUUAACUAAAUUGUAGUGGAUUAUCAACUGCACCACAAAGAAGAAUGCAAGAUCUAUUUUUUAAAUUACUAGUGCCUUUGCUUCACAACUCGAAGAACCAAGAGACCAAAACUAAAUCAUCUAAUUGAAAGUUCAACCUACAAUACAUGGUUGAUUUCGAGAAGGAUAUGAAGUCCACAAAUAAAUAAGCAAAGAGGGUUUUUGCCCACUACUCUAUUUUGGCACUGGGAGGUGAUCAAAUUUCAUUAAGAAAAAACUCUUUGUAUUUGAAGUAACAGUAUCUGUGAAUAUUUGGUCAAGUGUUAUUUUAGAAGUUUCCUUAGAUUUUGUCUUUGUUGUGUUGUGCUAAAUAUUGCUGAAUAUAAGAUUAAAAUGUUCCAUUUCAAAUAUAGGUAUACUCAUAUAUACUACUAAGAUAAUAUUUGGGUUCCCACAAAUUAUAGAUAAAGAAUGGGUACGUCUUAACAGGUAAUUUGUACUUUGUCAUGUGGUUUAUAUACUUUAUAUUUUAAGAUAAUAUCUUAGAACGUUGUCUUUUAAAAUUGUUAGGGCCUCACAAGAGUACAUAAAAGUUUCGAAAAAUUUUGUCAUUACUGCUCAUCAUAAUUUAGGCAAACCAGAUAAAAUUUUAUGUCAUUGUAAAGGUUGUCGAAACUUAAGCCAUCAAUACGUAGAUAUCGUUCACGAGUAUCUGGUCAUAAGAGGAAUGGAUCCGACUUACACAAAUUGGUUUCACCAUGGAGAAAGACUAAUUAGUAAUGUUGAUACUACAAGUAAGACGGAAAUAUUCAACUUGUUUGAAGCUAUACAUACGAAUGAAGAACAUAACAAGAAAGUUUUUGAAGAGAAUUUGGAUGAUGACAUUAGUUGAUUGGUGAAGGAUGCUGAAACUCCGUUGUAUCCAGGAAAUGAAAAAUACACAAAGCUAUCUUUUAUUGUGACCUUAUAUAAGCUUAAAACUAUAAAUGGUUGGUCAGAUAAUAGCUUUACAGAACUUCUAAACAUAUUACAUGAUAUGUUACCUGAAGUUAAUAUAAUUCCUACACCCACAUUAUGUGUAAGAAAAUUUCUUAAGAUAUUGAAUUUAGGAUAUGAGAAGAUUCAUGCAUGUAUCAAUAAUUGCUGUUUGUUUAAAAAUGAUAAAAAAGAACUAGAUAGCUGUCCAAAAUGUGGUUCUUCGAGAUGGAAGGCCGAUAAACAGACACGAAAGUGUAAAAAUUGUGUACCUGCCAAAGUCUUAAAAUACUUUCCUAUAAAACCUAGAUUCUAGAGGAUGAUUAGUACACCAAAGAUGACUGAAUAAUUAAUAUGACAUUCAACCAAUCAGAGUGUUGAUGGUAAAAUGCGUCAUCCAAUGGAUUCUCCAUCUUGGGCUUUAAUUGACAACAACUGACAAAAGUUUGCAAAUAAUCCACACAAUCUACCACAAGUGAUAGAAGGAUAUGCUAACAUGGGAAAAGAGAUAAAUCUUUUUUAACUUACCAUAUUGAGAGGUAAGAUUUUGACAUUCUCCAACUCUUAUUCAAUUUCUUUCAAUUAUUUGAAUAUACUUUCGUAUGAAACUAACAAAAUCGUUUUGCUUUGUUAUAUUAUUAGGUGCUACUGUUAUGUCAUAAUUUGGAUGUAAUGCACAUUGAGAAAAAUGUAUGUGAAAGCAUUGUUGGUACAUUGUUAGACAUAAAUGGUAAAACAAAAGAUGGAUUAAAUGCUCGUAAGGAUUUACAAGACAUGAGAAUUAGAAAAGAGUUACAUCCAAAGGAUCGAGGUAAUAGAAUAUACCUUCCUCCUCCUCCACAUACGUUGUCAAGGUUGGAGAAACAAACAUUUUGUAGGAGGUUGUUUAACUUAAAAUUACCUGAUGGGUACAGUUCACAUAUAGCCAUUUGUAUAUCAGUAGAUAAAUGCAAAAUUAUUGGCCUCAAGUCACAUAAUUGUCAUGUCUUCAUACAACAACUUUUGGCUGUAGCAUUAAGGUGAUUACUUCCAAAAUGACCAACACAUGCAAUUUUUAGCCUAUGUACAUUCUUCAACGGAUUAGGCCAACGUGUUGUUGAUAGGGAGAAAAUAGCAAUGUUAGAAGAUGACGUAGUUGAAACCUUAUGCAGUCUUGAAAGAUUCUUUUCUCUUGCAUUUUUUUGACAUCAUGAUACAUUUGGGAAGAGAAGUACGAUUAUGUGGUCCAGUUCACUAUCGUUGGAUGUAUCCUUUUGAGAUGUGAGAAAUUCACAAUUACUUAGAUAAAUUUACACACAUAAUUUCAUUCUUAGUACUAAUUCGUUUACUUUGUUUAAUUAUAGACAUAUGAAGAUAUUAAAAGGACAUGUGAGAAAUCGCGCAGGAUCCGAAGGUUGCAUAGUUGAAUUUUAUCUUGCAGAUGAGUGCAUGAAUUUUUGUACCGAGCUUAUGAAAUAAGUACGAGAAAUUGAUCAUCGAGAGGAGCACAACCAAGAUUAUGUUAGCAAUGAAAUUACUGAAGGACGUCCCAUUUCUGCUCCAAAUUUUAUUAUACUAAGUAAUGAAAUUUUAGAGAUAGCACAUCAUUAUGUAUUAUUCAAUACAUCUUAUGUGGAACCGUAUUUGGAGUAAGUCAUCCAAAUUUAUAUUAAUAAGUAUAGAACAUGUAUAUAAAUUUGUAAUCUCGGAUAACUUGCUUAUUAUUAGAAUGCAUGAAAAGGAGCUGAAGCGAAACAAUAGAAG